rnacentral:sRNA from 1 species
CUUGAGAAAUAGAGAAGAAAGAGUUAGGGAGAAAUUUUUUAGUUGCAAGAAGAGUAGAGGUUCUGAAGGGUUUCGGGGAAACAAAGUCGGAGCAGGAGAUUAAGUCUGGAAUAGAGAUGAAGGAAUGUCGCCUCACCUUGUACCAAGGAAAGGGAGGAGUAGAAGAACUAUAAUUAGAACCUUUUUACAUGUAUAGACUUAUAUCAACUAGGAAAUUUUAAA